GGAUUGCAUAGUGACUGCAUAAGGAUUGUAUAGUGACUGCAUAAGGAUUGCAUAGUGACUGCAUAAGGAUUGCAUAAGGAUUGUAUAGUGAUUGCAUAAGGAUUGCAUAGUGACUGCAUAAGGAUUGCGUAGUGACUGCGUAAGGAUUGCAUAAGGAUUGUAUAGUGACUACAUAAGGAUUGCAUAAGGAUUGUAUAGUGGCUGCGUAAGGAUUGCAUAAGGAUUGCAUAGUGACUGCGUAAGGAUUGCAUAGUGACUGCAUAAGGAUUGCAUAGUGACUGCAUAAGGAUUGCAUAGUGACUGCAUAAGGAUUGCAUAGUGACUGCAUAAGGAUUGCAUAGUGACUGCAUAAGGAUUGCAUAGUGACUGCAUAGUGACUGCAUAAGGAUUGCAUAGUGACUGCAUAAGGAUUGCAUAAGGAUUGCAUAGUGACUGCAUAAGGAUUGCAUAAGGAUUGUAUAGUGAUUGCAUUUGGUCUAAUUUGUCAUUUAACUGAAACAGCUCUCCAACUACUAGGCUUCUUUACUCUACGUUUUGGCUUUUCAGUCAUUUUUGAUUUGUUUGUGUGUGUGUGUGCGUGCGUGCGUGCGUGUGUGCGUAUGUGUGUGUUCAUUAACCCCCAAGUGUGCAGAGGUCAGCUGCUUUGACGAUGUUGCACUACUGUUCCAUCGGCUGAAGCAGUGCAACAGUAUUGUCAUGGCAUCUGGCCUCCGCCACGGCUUCCCAUGCAAUCAGAUGCUAAGGACUGAGGGGCAUAUAUGAGGGGUAUAUAUGAGAGGUAUAUAUGAGGGGUAUAUAUGAGAGGUAUAUAUGAGGGGUAUAUAUGAGGGGUAUAUAUGAGGGGUAUAUAUGAGAGGUAUAUAUGAGAGGUAUAUAUGAGGGGUAUAUAUGAGGGGUAUAUAUGAGAGGUAUAUAUGAGAGGUAUAUAUGAGGGGUAUAUAUGAGGGCUAUAUAUGAGGGGCAUAUAUGAGGUGCAUAUAAUAAGCACAAGAGUGAGUCCUCCCUCACUGGGCCUAUAGGAUAAUUCUGCAGGCCUUCCCUCUCACUGGGCCUAUAUGCUAAUACUGCAGGCCUUCCUUCUCCCUGGGCCUAUAGGAUAAUACUGCAGGCCUUCCUUCUCACUGGGCCUAUAGGAUAAUACUGCAGGCCUUCCUUCUCCCUGGGCCUAUAGGAUAAUACUGCAGGCCUUCCUUCUCCCUGGGCCUAUAGGAUAAUACUGCAGGCCUUCCUUCUCACUGGGCCUAUAGGAUAAUACUGCAGGCCUUCCUUCUCACUGGGCCUAUAGGAUAAUACUGCAGGCCUUCCUUCUCCCUGGGCCUAUAGGAUAAUACUGCAGGCCUUCCUUCUCCCUGGGCCUAUAGGAUAAUACUGCAGGCCUUCCUUCUCACUGGGCCUAUAGGAUAAUACUGCAGGCCUUCCUUCUCCCUGGGCCUAUAGGAUAAUACUGCAGGCCUUCCUUCUCCCUGGGCCUAUAGGAUAAUACUGCAGGCCUUCCCU
rnacentral:lncRNA from 1 species